UGGGGAAUCUUGCACAAUGGGGGCAACCCUGAUGCAGCGACGCCGCGUGAGCGAUGAAGCCCCUCGGGGCGUAAAGCUCUUUCGACCGGAACGAUAAUGACGGUACCGGGAGAAGAAGCUGCGGCUAACUACGUGCCAGCAGCCGCGGUAAUACGUAGGCAGCAAGCGUUGUUCGGAGUUACUGGGCGUAAAGAGUGCGUAGGCGGUUUUCUAAGUUCGGUGUGAAAUCUCCCGGCUUAACUGGGAGGGUGCGCCGAAGACUGGGAAGCUGGAGUGUGGGAAAGGCAGGCGGAAUUCCUGGUGUAGCGGUGAAAUGCGUAGAUAUCAGGAGGAACACCGGCGGUGUAGACGGCUUGCUAGACCAUAACUGACGCUGAGGCACGAAAGCGUGGGUAGCAAACA
rnacentral:rRNA from 1 species